CAGGCCUAACACAUGCAAGUCGAACGAGACCUUCGGGUCUAGUGGCGCACGGGUGCGUAACGCGUGGGAAUCUGCCCUUGGGUUCGGAAUAACAGUGAGAAAUUACUGCUAAUACCGGAUGAUGUCUUCGGACCAAAGAUUUAUCGCCCAGGGAUGAGCCCGCGUAGGAUUAGCUAGUUGGUGGGGUAAAGGCCUACCAAGGCGACGAUCCUUAGCUGGUCUGAGAGGAUGAUCAGCCACACUGGGACUGAGACACGGCCCAGACUCCUACGGGAGGCAGCAGUGGGGAAUAUUGGACAAUGGGGGAAACCCUGAUCCAGCAAUGCCGCGUGAGUGAUGAAGGCCUUAGGGUUGUAAAGCUCUUUUACCCGGGAUGAUAAUGACAGUACCGGGAGAAUAAGCUCCGGCUAACUCCGUGCCAGCAGCCGCGGUAAU
rnacentral:rRNA from 1 species